UUUCAUUUAGACGUGGUUGCGAGCAGACGUGGGUAACUGGUGCUCCGUAUUCAAAGCCCAUGGAUCUCGACGCUAUCAAGGUGCUUCUUGAAGCUCAAGAACGAGUUUUUCGAAGCGCUAUGGGUCUUGUCGUCGACCAGCAAAACUCAAGGAUUACGAAGCUGGAAAGUACGAUUGCUGAUUUGGUGAAAAGCCUGGAGUUUACGCAAAAUGAAGUGCUUGGCUACAAAAAGGAAGUGAAAGAUCUUCAGAAGUCUGCUAGUGAAUACAAGGCAAUCAGUGCUCGUCAAGAAUUGAAAAUUGAUGAAAUGGAGAGACGUCUGAACUACCAGGAGGACUACAGCAGACGUAACAAUUUGCGUAUCACCGGUAUUCAAGAACAGCCUGGUGAAACAUGGGAGCAAACAUCAACAACGGUAACGAAGCUCUUGGAAGAAAAACUUCAACUACCAUCAAUGAAAAUAGAACGAGCCCACCGCAUAGGACUGGUGGUUCCAGCCAGAUCUCGAACAGUGGUGGUUCGUUUCGAGAAAUUUGGAGACCGAGAAGCAGUGUUACGAAACACCAGGAAACUUCAGGGAACAGGUGUGUUUAUCAACGAAGAUCUCUGUGCUGCAUCGCAAGAAUUAAAGAAGAGUCAGUUUCCCCAGCUUAGACAAGCCAGACAAGAAGGUAAAAUUGCCUUCUUUAAACACACAAAGUUAAUAAUCAAGGAAAAAAAAAAACGAGUCAACGAUCGUCAUCCGGUGGAGCGAGUGCUGUUGCUUCGAAUCGUCACAGGAGUGUUGGCAGUGCAGUGGCCGGUACUGUCGGAGUUGUGCUGGGUGUAGGUGACGGUGUGGGGCACACAGGCACUGCUUCUGUCGGACCCGGUGUUGCUGAUGUCCGGAUAUCGGGUGCUGCUGCUGUCAAGGCCACUAACAACGAAAAUGUCGGUGGCUCUGAUGGACCCGUUGCUAGCAGCGCUGGCAACCAGGUCCCUGACGAAGUUGCCUGUGACCCAGGAGCUGUCGGCGGCGUCUUGGAGCGGCAACAGAGGAGUCUCAGGGAUCGUAAAAAGAAAAAGAUAAGUUACUGUUUAAGCCAUAAUCUGUGUUGUACUUUCUUUUGUCCUAAUUCAUGGAACCUAGUGAAAUAGGUUUUUGUGAUGAAUUACCUUUUGGUUCGUUGAACGAUGUUGAAUUAUGUACUAUAUUUCACUCAAAUUCGGUCUCUAAUACUGCUUGUAUAAAUUUUCAAAACUUUAGAGUUUGAUCCUUUUGCCACACAGGAUGAAAAGUAUAAGAGUGACUUAGAUGUAUAUUAGUUAUAUUCACAUCAUAGAUAUUUGGAUCUUCCAAAAUCUCAUUAUAGCUUUGAUGAUUUAUCUUUUCCAAGCACCAAUGUAAUAACAAUUUCAUGACAUAACAUUAGAUCAGUUCCUAAAAAUCUACAUUUUGUUGAUACCUUUUUACAGUAUUCACAUAAUAAAUUAACUGUCCUUGGUUUCACAGAAACGAGAUUAGAUAAGCACAUUGACUCAAUCUAUCAAUUAUCUGGAUACAAUAUGUUUACUAACACGAGAAAUACGCAAGGUGGUGGAGCCUCAUUGUACAUCUCUGCCGAUUAUCAUUCAUCUGUGAUAAGUGAGUUCACAUUAUCAAAUAACUUUGUAGAAUGUAUAGCUGUGGAAACUACUAUAAAUAAGAAAGUCAUUAUUCAUGUUGAUUUAUAGGCCUCCAAAUAGUAGUAUUACCAAAUUUUUAGAAGUAAUGUCUGAAUAUCUCUUACUUGCUCAUGAAUUGAAAUUUAUGAAGAUUUACAUUUUUGGUGAUUUUAACCUGGAUUUACUGAAGCUCCGAGACAACUGUUUAUGAAUUUAUUAAUUUGAUGUACUCUUUCUCUCUUUUCCCUCUAAUUACAAAGCCGACAAGAGAAGCCGACAAGAGUAACUAACAACACCGCUACUCUCAUAGAUCACAUUUGGACCACACAGAUAGAAUCAAAUAUUGCUAAUCACAUAAUAUAUUCAGAAAUUACCGACCAUUUCCCAAUAAUUUCUCAGUUUAAGUGUGAGUAUAGUGGAAGUGUUCAUCCUACAUACGUUAAUAAGAGUCGUUACACCUAUAGCUUUAGAACAUAUAAAUGAUGAUCUAAAACAAAAAAAACUGGAAUGAUUUAUUAACUUGUCCAAAUGUUUCUUAUAAUCUUUUCCAUGACGCAAUAACUAUCUUGUAUGAUAAACACUUUCCAUUGAAAAAAUAUCGAAUAAAUAGCAAAAAAUUAAAUAAGUCCGUACUUUACUCCUGUAUUUAAAAAAAAAACGUAUAAAAGAGAAAUAGAUUAGAGAACCUAGCGAAGAAAUGGCCCAUCACUUUUGGAUACAGAAAUUACUUAACUUCAACACUAAGAGCAGCAAGAAACAAAUAUUAUAAAGACAAUUUAAGGGAAAACCAAGGUAAUCCCAUAUAUAAAGGUACUAGGCCUUGCUGGCGCCCGAGAGUGUAAGAAAGGCAGGAAAAGUGAGUGGCAAGUGUGUGGGGCGACACUGUACCCUCUCCACGGUUUUGGAGGACAAAGUGAAAGAUGGAAGCGGAAGGAAAGGCCAGUGAGCUGCGUAUGCUUGACCUCUGAGUGGACGUAGGGGGAAAAAAAAAAUGACACGUUUCGGAAAUAACUUGUAUCAUAAGUAGAGAACGUGCAUCCCGUUAAGCAGCCGCGCAUUGCAAGGCCACGAGGGUACGUGGUAUGAUCGCAAGUGACACGUCCGGAAAUCAGCGUUUAGUUGCGUGUGUCUUAAUAGAAAAAAAAAUAGCUGAUUUCCAAAUUAUACAUCAAAGCAUGACCUCGUCUAGUUCAGGAGAGUCCUUCGUAUAGUAAAACACAUCAAGACGUCUCAGUGUAGAUAUAAAGAUAAUAAAGUAAUAGAUAUAAAGAUGUAAAGUGGAUAAAUAAAUAAGAAAAAAGUGUUAAAUCAUUAGUGUGAGGCCAUUUGUGUGUUGUAAAACACACAAAGGCGCUAAACUCUGUCCACCAAUUAGAGGCAGUUAGGCUCAUUACCGCUCAUGUGCAAGUCUUGAGUUCAAUAUAUUACUUUAUGACCGCUGUUUACUUACUGUAUAAAACAUCUGUGACCAGGGUUGUGUCUUUGAGCCAAACUGUGACCAGAUAACACGUCAGGAGCGGUCAGACUUGCCCUUCACCUGAGGCACCACCAUCUGCGCCUUUGUCUUUGCUUAUUACUUGUGAGUGUUGCUUGUGAGUCACCAUUGCCCCUGUUCCUUUUUUGUCAACAUUGAUACUCGCUGUUACGUAUGUGCGUCUUAUUGAUAGGUAUAUAGUGUGUAUGAAAACUCUGUAAUAGUUCCUCAUGCAUCUGCGAAAUUCCCUUGAUCCUUGAUACUAUACUCGUAGGUUAGUUUAUUUAUUUAUUUAUUCCGUUAUGUAAGAGGGACACUGGCCAAAAAGCAAGGUUGAAAAGAAUAAUCGAAAACUGGAGGAUUAACUGGUAGCAUCCUACUCUGUAUCUUGUAUAUAUGUUACUUUAUCUAUCAUAAGCCAGUAUAAGCCUAAAAUCAUCACCUGAUAUUUUACGUCAAUCCAACAAACGUAUUUAAAAAUUCGCGACCACGUUGAUGUUUUUGGUUUAACAUUGUUGGAGAAGCGUCGUGGUAGUGGUGGUGGUGGUAGUGGUGGGACGUGAGGACGUGAGGAUCUGUCACUGACCUUGCGAUGGCUGGCUUACCCUUGAGCAGUGGUGGGUGAAGGAGAUCGAGGGGAAUUAGGCAACCACAUCAGGGAACAGGUGUGUGAGGGGACAGGGAUGAGGUAGGAUGAGACGAGACGCUUCGAUGCCUCUACUGUCCUUCCCUACACACACACACACACACACACACAUCUGUACGUGACAUUCCUGUUAGUUUAUUUCUUUGGUGGUUGUUUUUCUUCUGUUUUAAUAUUUUUUCUAUUGUUUAUUUAUGUUUUGUCCCUUGUUUCUUUGUUCGAUGGUAAUUUAGUUAUUUAUUUUUUUGUAGAACGUCAGUAAAACAUAAAGGAAAAUCUGCCUUCCGUCCUGUAAUAUUUGGGAAAAUGUUAGGCUUUGUAGGAUAUCUCGUCUUACCUCUCGCGCUCCCUCCUUCCUAGGCAUUGAAAAAGUGCGGGGAAAUUUGAAGGUUUAUAAAUGCACUGGUGUGUGUAUGUGUGUGUGUGUUAUUGCUAGUUAUCUCUCUCUCUCUCUCUCUCUCUCUCUCUCUCUCUCUCUCUCUCUCUCUCUCUCUCUCUCUGUCAGUAGUUGCACAGGUCUUCAAGGCUAUUUUUACGGUUUUAGUGACAGAUUAACAACAUUUCUACAUUAAUAACAGGAGAAACACCAUUGAAAACCCUGAUAAUCAUCUUUAUAGCUUUGAAAAACAGUCGUGAGGAGAGAGAGAGAGAGAGAGAGAGAGAGAGAGAGAGAGAGUAGGAGCAUUUCAGUUGAGCCUAUUCUGCCCUGGUUCGUGUUUGCUGCUGUGACACGGUGCCGCACUGAGUGAAGAUUGCGUUCAUAAUCACUUAUCGGGGGUGGAGUGGGGAAAGAGAGUCAGGAAGUGAGGAUAUUUAUAUUAUUUGACAUAUUAUUUAAUAGCAUGUCAACUUUUGUGUGUGUGUGUGUGGGUGGGUGGGUGUUGGAUCAGUGACAGGUGGCGCUGGGGAGUUACCACGGCGAGCGGCUGGCUGGCUGCAUUGUUUUGGUCAGCACUGGUCUAUCUUGCCCUACACGCUCUAUUAACCAGUGUUUCAGUCUUCCCGACACCUUCUUCCUGCACCAAGCACCGUCAAGCAUCACUAGAGAGGCACGAGUACGUAAGCUAUCCAACAUCAGAACAGUAUAUGAAUAUGGCAAAUGCUGUUUUGACAUCAUUUCCUGCCAUUCUGAGAAACGGUGAUCUCGAGGAGCAUGAAUUGCAGCUGCAGUUGAAAUUGCGCAUCCAGCGCAAGUUUCAGAAUUUAAGAAAGAGGCAGGAUUCCUCAGUGACUGAGGUGACGUCAAGGAAAAAGAAGAUCCCUUGCAUAGCGCCAAAAGAGACUACGUGUCCACUGAUGUAUGGAGUAAAGGUUUACCUUCCACCAAGGCCCCAUUCAGAAGAUGAUGAGUCAUUAGAGAGACAUAGACAGUGGCUUGCUCUACAUUGGAUGAAGAAAGAUCCCAAGUUAGGUAAGGCUGAACGCCUCAUGCAGUUGACACUCUCUGAGAGACGCAAAAAAAUAAUCAAUGGGAACAUUCUUGUAGCAGAAAUCCUGAACUUGUACCCGUGAAUUCAGACUUUUGAUGGCAUAAUCAAGGAGUUCCUGAGAUUAGAACCACAAGCGGAUGAACCAGACCCAAGAGUAGCAGUUUUGAAAGGGCUGGAGAAAUAUAGGCUCCCAAUAAUUGCCAUUCUCAAGAAAAGAAAAGCAGUUCCUCUGUAUAUGGAAACCUUACUUGAACUCUAUGACCACGAUGAAAGUCAAUUCCAACAAGACAGGUCACUAAUUCGCGUGGAGAUAGAAUUCUUGGAGUCACCUUUGCCGGCGCUAGCGCAAGUGCAAACAGUCUGAUAAAGAUGCUUGCUUAGUUAUAUUGGGGUUACUUCACCUGCUUGGAGAAAGGAAAGACCCCAUUUUUACUAAGGUACCAGAAGAAGAACUAAGAACAGGGCAGUCUAGUGUGUAUUUGAUGGUGCACCUGUAGCUGAACCAACAUGUAUUUCUAUGGCUGUAGUCUCAUUGGUAGCAAGGCUUUGUGUUUAAUACUGAACACCCAAAAAAUUGUGAACAUUUCCUCCGUUUCACAACAUCCCAUCUCUUAGGUAUCAAGUAUGACAAAGGUAACACUUCAAAAACAAGAUCUCUACUUGUAAAAUUCAAUGAAGUAAAGACAGAAUUGAGCUACAAAAAUGCAUAAAUCUGCUUCCAAAUAUAUUCAACUCCACACAUAAAUGCUUCUCUCUCUCUCUCUCUCUCUCUCUCUCUCUCUCUCUCUCUCUCACACACACACUAGUCAAUUACUAGUUAAAGAUUAAUCAGUGAAACACACACACACUCUAGUCAAUUACUAAUUAAAGAUUAAUCAGUGAAAUAAAUACAUAACAUGUUUAUGUUUAAGUUUUCUAAAAGGAAAAGGAAAUACUUGUACUUCCCCUUCCCCCCACCCAGUAUUCAUGAAAUCUUACUGAAUUGUUAUAUAUAUAUAUAUAUAU